AUUGAACGCUGUCGGCAUGCCUUACACAUGCAAGUCGAACGGCAGCACGGGUGCUUGCACCUGGUGGCGAGUGGCGAACUGUUGAUUAAUACAUCGGAACAUGUCCUGUAGUGGGGUAUAUCCCGGCGAAAGCCGGCUUAAUACCGCAUACGAUCUACGGAUGUAAGCGGGGGACCUUCGGGCCUCGCGCUAUAGGGUUGGCCGAUGGCUGAUUAGCUAGUUGGUGGGUUCAAGGCCUACCAAAGCGACGAUCAGUAGCUGGUCUGAGAGGACGACCAGCUACACUGGGACUGAGACAAGGCACAGACUCCUACGGGAGGCAGCAGUGGGGAAUUUUGGACAAUGGGCGAAAGCCUGAUCCAGCAAGGCCGCGUGUGUGAAGAAGGCCUUCGGGUUGUAAAGCACUUUUGUCCGGAAAGAAAUCCUUGGCCCUAAUACGGUCGGGGGAUGACGGUACCGGAAGAAUAAGCACCGGCUAACUACGUG
rnacentral:rRNA from 1 species